rnacentral:rRNA from 1 species
GAUUAUGGCUCAGGAUGAACGCUAGCUACAGGCUUAACACAUGCAAGUCGAGGGGCAGCAUUGGGAUAGCUUGCUAUUCAGAUGGCGACCGGCGCACGGGUGAGUAACGCGUAUCCAACCUUCCUGCCAGUAGGGAACAGCCCGGCGAAAGUCGGAUUAAUGCCCUAUGUUCUUCAAUGCGGACAUCUAAGUUGAAGGAAAGAUUCAUCGCUGGCAGAUGGGGAUGCGUCCGAUUAGCUUGCCGGCGGGGUAACGGCCCACCGGGGCGACGAUCGGUAGGGGUUCUGAGAGGAAGGUCCCCCACACUGGUACUGAGACACGGACCAGACUCCUACGGGAGGCAGCAGUGAGGAAUAUUGGUCAAUGGGCGUAAGCCUGAACCAGCCAAGUAGCGUGCAAGGAUGACGGCCCUACGGGUUGUAAACUGCUUUUAUGCGGGGAUAAAGUGCGGCACGUGUGCCGCUUUGCAGGUACCGCAUGAAUAAGGACCGGCUAAUUCCGUGCCAGCAGCGGC